GGUCGUUCAAUACUACUGAACUAGAGGACAUCAGAAGAGCAUGGAAUGUCCGGUGUAGCGGUAAAAUGCGCAGAUAUCGGAAGGAACACCAGUGGCGAAUGCGUUACUGUGGGGUGUGCCUGACGCUGAGAGACGAAAGCUAGGGGAGCGAACAGGAUUAGAGACCCUGGUAGUCCUAGCCCUAAACGAUGGAUGCUAGAUGUGGGGCCGAGAAGGCUCCGUGUCGCAGUUAACGCGGUAAGCAUCCCGCCUGGGGAUUACGGCCGCAAGGCUAAAACUCAAACGAAUUGACGGGGCCCCGCACAAGCAGCGGAGCGUGUGGUUUAAUUCGAUGCUACACGAAGAACCUUACCUGGGUUUGACAUGUAAGUGGUAGUGAAGCGAAAGCGGAGCGACCCUUCGGGGAGCUUACACAGGUGUUGCAUGGCUGUCGUCAGAUCGUGCCGUAAGAUCUCGGAUUAAGUCCCGUAACGAGCGCAACCCUUGCCCUUAGUUACAAGUGUCUAAGAGGACUGCCGGCGGUAAUCCGGAGGAAGGUGGGGAAGACGUCAAGUCAGCAUGGCCCUUAUAUCCAGGGCUACACACACGCUACAAUGGUCAGUACAAAGGGCAGCGAAGCCGCGAGGUGAAGCGAA
rnacentral:rRNA from 1 species